rnacentral:rRNA from 1 species
UACGUAGGGUGCGAGCGUUGUCCGGAUUUAUUGGGCGUAAAGGGCUCGUAGGCGGCCUGUCGCGUCGGGCGUGAAAGCCCACUGCUUAACGGUGGGUCUGCUUUCGGUACGGGCGGGCUAGAGUAUGGCAGGGGAGACUGGAAUUCCUGGUGUAGCGGUGGAAUGCGCAGAUAUCAGGAGGAACACCGGUGGCGAAGGCGGGUCUCUGGGCCAUUACUGACGCUGAGGAGCGAAAGCGUGGGGAGCGAACAGG